rnacentral:rRNA from 1 species
UACGUAGGGAGCAAGCGUUGUCCGGAUUUAUUGGGCGUAAAGAGCUCGUAGGCGGUUAAGUAAGUCAGGUGUGAAACCUCCAGGCUCAACCUGGAGACGCCACUUGAUACUGCCGUGACUUGAGUACGGUAGGGGAGUGUGGAAUUCCCGGUGUAGCGGUGAAAUGCGCAGAGAUCGGGAGGAACACCCGUAGCGAAGGCGGCACUCUGGGCCGAUACUGACGCUGAGGAGCGAAAGCGUGGGGAGCGAACGAGG